GUCAAGGUGCCAGAGUGGUUAAUGGGCUGCCCUGCUACGAGCACCCUUCUGGGUGCGAGAGCAAGUGAGGCAGUGGCUUCGGUCGCGCAGGUUCGAAUCCUGUCCUUGACG
rnacentral:tRNA from 1 species